AGAGUUUGAUCCUGGCUCAGAUUGAACGCUGGCGGCGUGCUUAACACAUGCAAGUCGAGCGGUAACAGGUGUAGCAAUACAUGCUGACGAGCGGCGAACGGGUGAGUAAUGCUUCGGAAUCUUCCUCGUAGUGGGGAAUAACCUGGGGAAACUCAGGCUAAUACCGCAUACGAACUACGGUUGAAAGCAGGGGAUCGCAA
rnacentral:rRNA from 1 species